GAUGAAGAACGCAGCAAAAUGCGAUAAGUAAUGUGAAUUGCAGAAUUCAGUGAAUCAUCGAAUCUUUGAACGCACAUUGCGCCCGCUGGUAUUCCGGCGGGCAUGCCUGUUCGAGCGUCAUUUCAACCCUCAAGCCCCCGGGUUUGGUGUUGGGGAUCGGCUCUGCCCUUCUGGGCGGUGCCGCCCCCGAAAUACAUUGGCGGUCUCGCUGCAGCCUCCAUUGCGUAGUAGCUAACACCUCGCAACUGGAACGCGGCGCGGCCAUGCCGUAAAACCCCAACUUCUGAAUGUUGACCUCGGAUCAGGUAGGAAUACCCGCUGAACUUAAGCAUAUCAUAACGGAGGA
rnacentral:misc_RNA from 1 species